ACAACUGUCAUCUGUGCCUGUCAAUCAAGGAGUGAAGGAGCAUGUUGCAGGGUGUGUAUAACACUGUCUCUGGUGCCUGCAGAUCAGAAAUCGCCAUCAACACAAGUGUACCAACCUUCAAGUCAACGGUGAGGCACAACUAAAGGGUCUAAUCAGCUUCAUUUGGAUGCAAUUUUAAACUUAAACCCCAUCUCUAAAGGACUUAAGGAGCCAGAGUGAGAACAUCUGAGAACAUCAUCAUGUCUUAUGACUGGAUUCUGUCCAUCGAAAACCUGAGCGAUGUUCCAAAUCCAUGGAAGGGAAUCACUAUGAACCGCUGCAUAGUGGUGGCGCUGGUCAUACUGCUUGUGACCUCAGGAGUGAAUGAAGUGCAUGAAGCUGUGGACUGUUUUGUUGAAGAGACAGGUAUAAGGUCUUUCUUUAGAAGUCUGCAGGAUGGCUCAAUAACUCAGAUCUCCCUAUGGGAUAGUUUCAUGUGGUGGUGGGGAACUGAAGAGGUCGGAGUAAUAAGAAGGAGAAAAAAGCCGAUCGGCAACAAAGCAAUCCUGAAGCCCAAACCUAAAGCCUAAAACAUAUGCAGCUGCUGGAAGAUGAGUGAAAGGUCAGCGAGAGAGGUCGUCAGCUGUGACAACAGCAUGUUUCUGAAUAAAGAACACAAACAGUCCUCAGUAUACUCAGUAUAAUCAAUUUGGUAGUUUUUAGAGGAUAAUGGGAAACUUAAAUAAAACACAAAAUGUUGUUUUAUAGAAGAUAAGAGGUUUGCCCUGAUUAAACAACAUCUUUUUUAUUAUUCAGAUUACUUAUGAGAUAGAUUUACAUACAGAGGAAGAUGAUAAUAUUGAUGCUUGAAUUAUUAUAUCACAUCUGUUAACACACAUAUUUUUGUUUUCAAUAAAUCUGAUCAUUUGUAAGUGCGAGAA